rnacentral:rRNA from 1 species
UUUCCGGUUGAUCCUGCCGGACCUCACUGCUAUCGGGGUGGGACUUAGACAUGCGAGUCGAACGCUUCGCAGCCAUGAGUGAAGCGUGGCGAACGGCUCAGUAACACGUGGCUAACCUACCCUUGAGACGGAGACAACCCCGGGAAACUGGGGCUAAUCCCAGAUAGACGAGAACUCCUGGAAUGGGUUUUCGUCCAAAAGGCGUUAGGGUCAUGCUCCUUAACGUCGCUCAAGGAUGGGGCCGCGGCCGAUCAGGCUGUUGGUGAGGCAACGGCUCACCAAACCUAUAACCGGUACGGGCCGUGGGAGCGGGAGCCCGGAGAUGGGAACUGAGACAAGGUCCCAGGCCCUACGGGGCGCAGCAGUUACGAAAACUUGUCACUGCACGAAAGUGCGAACGGGCUACCCCGAGUGCCGUCCGCUGAGGAUGGCUUUUCUCUGCUGUAAGAAGGCGGAGGAAUAAGGAGAGGGCAAGUCUGGUGUCAGCCGCCGCGGUAAUACCAGCUCUCCGAGUGGUGGGGAUGUUUAUUGGGCCUAAAGCGUCCGUAGCUGGCCUUUCAAGUCUCUCGUUAAAUCCAGCGAUUCAAUCGUUGGACUGCGGGAGAUACUGUUAGGCUAGGGGGCGGGAGAAGCCGACGGUAUUUUCGGGGUAGGGGUAAAAUCCUAUAAUCCCGGGAAGACCACCAGUGGCGAAGGCGGUCGGCUAGCACGCGCUCGACGGUGAGGGACGAAAGCUGGGGGAGCGAACCGGAUUAGAUACCCGGGUAGUCCCAGCUGUAAACGAUGCGGGCUAGGUGUUGAAGCGGCUACGAGCCGCUUCAGUGCCGCAGGGAAGCCAUUAAGCUCGCCGCCUGGGGAGUACGGCCGCAAGGCUGAAACUUAAAGGAAUUGGCGGGGGAGCACCACAAGGGGUGAAGCUUGCGGUUUAAUUGGAGUCAACGCCGGA